AUACGGAGGGUGCAAGCGUUGUUCGGAAUUACUGGGCGUAAAGCGCGCGUAGGCGGUCUGUUAUGUCAGAUGUGAAAGUCCUCGGCUCAACCGGGGAAGUGCAUUUGAGACUGGCAGACUUGAGUACUGGAGGGGGUGGUGGAAUUCCCGGUGUAGAGGUGAAAUUCGUAGAUAUCGGGAGGAGUACCGGUGGCGAAGGCGACCACCUGGCCAGAUACUGACGCUGAGGUGCGAAAGCGUGGGGAGCAAACAGGAUUAGAAACCCUAGUAGUCC
rnacentral:rRNA from 1 species